rnacentral:misc_RNA from 1 species
AACAAGGCGUACCUGCGGACCUGCGGAGGGAUCAUUACCGAGUUUACAACUCCCAAACCCCUGUGAACAUACCAAUUGUUGCCUCGGCGGAUCAGCCCGCUCCCGGUAAAACGGGACGGCCCGCCAGAGGACCCCUAAACUCUGUUUCUAUAUGUAACUUCUGAGUAAAACCAUAAAUAAAUCAAAACUUUUAGCAACGGAUCU